rnacentral:rRNA from 1 species
UACGUAGGGGGCAAGCGUUGUCCGGAAUCAUUGGGCGUAAAGCGCGUGUAGGCGGCUUGGUAAGUCCGUUCUGAAAGCCCGGGGCUCAACCCCGGGAGGCGGAUGGAUACUGUCAAGCUCGAGUCCGGAAGAGGUGGGUGGAAUUCCUGGUGUAGCGGUGAAAUGCGCAGAUAUCAGGAGGAACACCAAUGGCGAAGGCAGCCCACUGGGACGUGACUGACGCUGAGACGCGAAAGCGUGGGGAGCGAACAGG